rnacentral:rRNA from 1 species
UGGGACGGCCAUAGCGACCUGGAUCACCCGUUCCCAUCUCGAACACGGAAGUUAAGCAGGUCCACGUGGCGCCUUGUACUG